CACAAUUACGUAUUAAUUCUCAAUUCUUGAACAACUAUUAUUGGUAUAGCGUGCGUGUGUGAUCAACAUCUAAGAUAACUGAUACGGACCCAAAUUCAAUACAUAAACAACUUCUUAGAAGGAAUUAUACAGUGCAAACUUAAAAAUCUCAAAGAUAGGCACGAUUCAACUAAAAUUAAACUUAACCAAAUUCAAGGGUACAUGCAGGAUACUUAUACUUUCUCUUCUUCUUUUCUUUUUUUUUCUAUACGGGGGCUUUUUGCACUUUUCCCGUUUUAUUCUUAUCUUUUUUUUUCUAAAUAUACAUAAACGACUGUGCAAUGUCUCAUCCAAUUAGGCUUACAGUGUUACCCCUUAGCGAGCUUUCGACCAAUGACUCCCAGACCAUAGAAGACCUUAGGGCGCUAGGUGUAAAGACAAUCCCCUCGGGCGUACUUGCUCAAGUAGCAGAGGCCCCGAAACAAGACUAGUCACCAUGCAUACCCUAUGUAUUUUUCUUCUUUUUUUUAUAUUUUUUUUAGAUAAGCUUAUAUACCCCACAUUUAUUGCCCCAAACUUAGGUUCUUGCCUAAUUUAAGCCUUCACUACCUAUCCUUUGAACUGACUGGUCAACAAAGAUGUUAUUAGUGCUACCCUUUUUAUAACAGUUUCAAACAAGUCCAAGAAUCGAUUCAUAACAGUAAUUAUAUCACAGUUCUAAUAAUCCAUACUAUAUUGGUUAACUUAUUCACA
rnacentral:lncRNA from 1 species